GACAGAGGUCCCGAGCGUUAGGCGGAAUCACUGGGCUUAAAGCGUGUGUAGGCGGAUCGUUAAGUGCCUUGUGAAAUCCCAUGGCUUAACCAUGGAACUGCUUGGCAUACUGGCGAUCUUGAGCCACUUAGGGGCAACCGGAACAAAUGGUGGAGCGGUGAAAUGCGUAGAUAUCGUUUGGAACGCCAAUGGUGAAAACAGGUAGCUGGGAGUGUGCCGACGCUGAGACACGAAAGCCAGGGGAGCGAACGGG
rnacentral:rRNA from 1 species